GAAGGAAAAAAAGGGAAAAGCGGAAAAAAAGGAAAGUGAAUAUAUGUGUAUCACAUCGAUCAUACGUUAUUCGCUAAUCUAUACGUAUACGUUACUAUAUUUUUCAAUUU
rnacentral:ribozyme from 1 species